rnacentral:rRNA from 1 species
CACACCGCCCGUCACACCAUGGGAGUCAGUUGCUCCAGAAACGGCUGCGCUAACCCGCAAGGGAGGCAGGUCUUUAAGGAGUGGCUGGUAACUGGGGUG